rnacentral:rRNA from 1 species
AUUGAACGCUGGCGGAAUGCUUUACACAUGCAAGUCGAACGGCAGCACGGACUUCGGUCUGGUGGCGAGUGGCGAACGGGUGAGUAAUGUAUCGGAACGUGCCCAGUCGUGGGGAUAACGUAGUGAAAAUUACGCUAAUACCGCAUACGAUCUAUGGAUGAAAGCGGGGGAUCGCAAGACCUCGCGCGAUUGGAGCGGCCGAUAUCAGAUUAGGUAGUUGGUGGGGUAAAGGCCCACCAAGCCAACGAUCUGUAGCUGGUCUGAGAGGACGACCAGCCACACUGGAACUGAGACACGGUCCAGACUCCUACGGGAGGCAGCAGUGGGGAAUUUUGGACAAUGGGCGAAAGCCUGAUCCAGCCAUUCCGCGUGCAGGAUGAAGGCCCUCGGGUUGUAAACUGCUUUUGUACAGAACGAGAAGGUUUCUACUAAUACUAGGAGCUCAUGACGGUACUGUAAGAAUAAGCACCGGCUAACUACGUGCCAGCAGCCGCCGUAA